UUGACAAUUUCUAAGACCCUCCCUCUGCGAGAGAUCCCACGCGCCCGAGCGCCUCCUUGCGCCCUCGUCCACAAAGCGCAGCUUCCCCCUCCCUCCCAGGCGCCCCUCUCCCGCAUCCUUGACGCGAGAGCCUCGCAGGAGCUUGAGGCCCGAUCUGCAGCAGCAGCAGCAGGAACCCCCGCCCGGUGAGCUUCGCGCUUCUCUUCCCUGGUCUCCCAUCUCUCCUCACCCUCUCUUUUCUCUCUCGAACAGGAAGAGACCCACCACAACAAUGGCGCCGCCCCAUGGAGCUCCGAUCUGCAGCGGGACCCCGCCGGAAGCGUCAGCUCUCGCACACCAAUGGCGCACGCCCGAGACAUUGGUGAACACGGAGCUUGUUUCUCCUGCGAACUCGGCGACCCUCUCCUCCAGCCUCCUCUCGCGCCCUACGGGAUCUCCCGAGCCAGCCCCAUCCGCCUCCGGCCGCCGCCGGCAAGCAGAGCUAUCGUCCGCGCGCUCCGGCCAGCUCAGACCGCGGCCUCCUCAGAUUGGCCACAUCAGCCGCCCCUGUAAACUUCCCCGUCGGUCUUCACCUCCUGCACGAGCCCCCGUCGUCCGUGCGCUCCGGCCAGCUUCCCGUCGCGCCCGAGACGAGAAGCAGUAAUCGCUUUAGUAUUAAAAAAAAACCGUCGGGCCCGAGACCAGAAGCAGUAAUCGCUUUAGUAUUAUAUAUAAAAAAAAUAGGGAAAGAUAGUCACAUGGACAGGGACCGCGGGUUAAUUUCAUAUAAACCGAGGGACUUGUAUGUAAAAUCGCCCGAGACGACGUACGACAGAAAUCCAAUUCUUUUUAUUAUUAGGUAAAGAAAUAGACAACUACAAUGUAUCGAACGACGUACCAUCUCUUUCCUACUCCACAAGAAAAGCCCUUCUCCUCCA